CAGAUGUGAGUGGGUGAACUGGUUUUACUGACACAUUGUGUGUCAUUCCAUGUCUGAAAUGUUCUGUAGGAAUAAAUCUUUAUUUUAUUUUAUUGUGUUAUACUUCUACUGCAGUACUAUCACUCCCUAUUGUAUUGUGCUAGUACUUCAGCACUUUCAGUCCAUAUUGUAUUUUACUAGCACUUCAGUACUAUCAGUCCCUAUUGUAUUUUACUAGCACUUCAGUACUAUCAGUCCAUAUUGUAUUUUACUAGUACUUCAGUACUAUCAGUCCAUAUUGUAUUUUACUAGCACUUCAGUACUAUCAGUCCCUAUUGUAUUUUACUAGCACUUCAGUACUAUCAGUCCCUAUUGUAUUAUGCUAGUACUUCAGCACUAUCAGUCCAUAUUGUAUUUUACUAGUACUUCAGUACUAUCAGUCCCUAUUGUAUUAUACUAGUACUUCAGAACUAUAAGGGUGGUACUGAGAGUGCUCUGUGUGUGAAGGUGCUCACUCUUGUGUGAAGGAGGUUUUAUUCACCAGAAUUAAUCACUGUGUUGGACUUUUGAAAGCGGUGCAAAAUUGGUCCUGAAAACUGGUCCCUCUGGUAGGUCCAGUGUCUCUGUUCCCUCCGUCCUCUGAGCAGCUCUCUUGGGGCUCGGCCACACUGGACUGCCUGCUGAGUGGCUACUCCCCCCAGGAGGCGAUGGUGAGCUGGGGGUGAGCUGGGAGGUGGACAGGGCGGAGGUGAAGGAGGGGGUCCUGACCACCACAGAAGAAGAGAAGGGUGGUCGCUACAGCCGUAGCAGCACCCUGACCCUGAGCAAGGCACGCUGGGAAGAGGGAGAGAUGUACACCUGCAGGGUCGACCAUGACGACACCAGUUAUUCGGCUGCCUUCCGGAGAAGUCAUUGUAGUGUCUGGAGACUGGAGAGGCAAUUGUAGGGGGCAAGAGAGUCCCCACAUGGUGCUAGUUCUGGAAACAAUGUUUUAGAGUUGAAUGUUAUAGUAUAAUAGUGAAUAAUAUCAGUAGUGCUAUGUGAUAAAUGAACUAUUUUGAGAUUAAGUUGUUCAUGUCAUCUAGUUCAAAUAAAGCUUUUUUUAUUUAGAAAAUACCCCAAAUAAUUACUAUAAGCAUGAUUCCAGUGAUCACUAUAUCAUGAAUAUGCAGCACAUUUCAUAGUAAUUUGCAUCAAUCAGCUUCUUUUAUAAUUUCAGCAUUGAAGCAAAUAUCUACUCAUGUUUUAAACAGAAUGAAAACGGCAUCCUAUCCAACAAAGACUACAAUCAUUUCUACUACUGAAUGAUCCUGUUAUACUGUAGCUCCAAUACCAGUGAUGAUAAUUAGUGACAUUUGAUAAUAAACCUUUGAGAUCUGCUGUCAGAACUCACACUGCUAAACAGUUACUGUCAUAACAUAUAUACUCAGCAAAAAAAGAAAUGUCCCUUUUUUAGGACCCUGUCUUUCAAAGAUGAUUCGUAAAAAUCCAAGUAACUUCACAGAUCUUCAUUGCUAUGGGUUUAAACACUGUUUCCCAUGCUUGUUCAAUGAACCAUGAACAACUAAUGAACAUGCACCUGUGGAACGGUCAUUAAGCAUGUCCUGUCUAUGCAAACAGACUGUCCUGAUCCCCCAGGGAAACUGUAGUUGAAGAGAUCUGUGUGAUUAGCAGCAAUUAAUUAAGGUUUAGGUUCAUCAUGGUCAUGGUCUUCAUUGGUCAACAAGCCUCAUCUGGGCUCAAUGAAAGGCUGGGAAGGUGCUGAAGGGUUGGCAGGAGAGACAUUUUAACUUGAUGGAACCACAGGACAUUUUUGGGAGUUAUAAUCAUGUUUAUCUCAAUAAAUAUGUUUGAAUCUUA